rnacentral:rRNA from 1 species
UACGAAGGGGGCUAGCGUUGCUCGGAAUCACUGGGCGUAAAGCGCACGUAGGCGGAUUGCUAAGUCAGGGGUGAAAUCCUGGAGCUCAACUCCAGAACUGCCCUUGAUACUGGCGGUCUCGAGUCCGGGAGAGGUGAGUGGAACUGCGAGUGUAGAGGUGAAAUUCGUAGAUAUUCGCAAGAACACCAGUGGCGAAGGCGGCUCACUGGCCCGGUACUGACGCUGAGGAGCGAAAGCCAGGGGAGCAAACGGG